rnacentral:lncRNA from 1 species
AUGUCUGCCGGGUACUGGUGCAACGCCCCCUACCCGCGCCCUCCGGGCUCAGAUUCCCGGGUUCCGGACUCCAGAGACCUGUCCGCCUGGCGUCCCCCGACCGCCGAGUUUCCGCGGGCGCCACCGGGGCCCUCCGGCGGACCCUCAGGGGCCCGCAGGCCGCCCCCGCACUCAGCUGAGACACGGCAGUGCGCGAAGCCUGGGCACUCACCCAGCGGGAGAGGGCAGGAGGCGGCGCAGCGGGCGGUAGCGGCAGCCUGGCCUCGCACUCUGCGCUCACGGCUGUUUUCCUCGUUCCCACUUUUCCUGGUGUACCACGAUGGGCGCCAAUGCAGGUCCCCCAAGCUCCGCACCUCCCUGAGGGCACCGCACUGUCCCUGCCAGAAAGAUCCUUGGCGCACAGACCACAGAAUGACUCGAGCGGGGGCUCGUGGGUUUCUUGGCGCUGUGCCCUCCUUCCAGGCGACAGCGGUGCUGCUGGACGGGGCUCGAGCCUUGGGCUGCCGGUCAGACUUUCAGGUACUCCUCUCUACCUCUCUACUUAUAAACCAACUGCAGGAAAGUGCAUGUCAGGUUGUCAGCCAUAAGCAGGGGACUCUUUCACUGUUAUUUGGUUAAAACAUCGAUCCUCAGUUACAGAUGCUUCUCCUGCUAGUUCGCUGAUAAAAGUUUUUAGCCAUGCAUUGGAAUCACCUCAGGACUCCACUCCCAAUCAAUUAUACAUCUGGGGGAGGACUAAGGCAUCGGUAUUUUUCAGAAGCUCCAUUGGUGAUUCUGACAACACAGCUAGGAUUAAGAAACUGAUCAAUGGGAACGGCAUGCCUGUUAGCAGAGGAGCUUCCCUGGGAAAUGUCACACACAGAAACACCAUCAAUCUUCCUUCCUCACUGCUGAGAGCCCUCAUUCUUUGGCAGCAGGAACAGAUGAAAUUAGUAAACCCUGGUUCCCUGCUCUCUCACAAAUUGCAAGAGUCCAACGUGUGGAUAUAAACUUUCGUUCAUGGGAGGAUCUUCCCCUCAGUGGAAAAGCAACUGGGAAAAGCAGGACACACUGUACAGUGACUGCAGUUUCAUCCAGUGCCACCACCCAUGCAGGCAUAAAUAACGAACAUGGAUUGGGGAGUCUGGAGCCGCUGAAUUGUAAAGACCAUACAUGUUUAAACUUUUUCCGUUAGUAAUAUUUCUGCUUUCUCUGUAUGUGUGUGUAGAAGUUCUGUCUUUAUAAUUCCCACCACUAUGCAUCAUACUUUCCAGGAGGAAGGAAGAACACAAAAAUUAAAAUUCUCACAAAGGCUACCGUUAAGCUGGAGGAAGACCACAUCACUGUGUGUCCACAAAGAUACAGAGCCAAGCCGGGUUCAGCCAUGCUGGUCAUCUGCUCUAUAUAAUAUGAUUAUUUAGAUCUCUAAAUAGUGGGUAAAAAACAACUACAGAAAAAAAAAUGCUAGAAACUAGAAUGUCAUUUUUACACACUCAUUUGUAGAAUUCCUCCCAGUUUUUACUCAAGGGAAUUUUAAAAUAUUUUCAUUUGAGGAAAGAACUGUUUUGAGUUUACCCUAUAAAAUGGCCACUAAAACUCACCCACUUUCACGAUUACCCAGCCAUCCUCAAAUCAUCUUCAUGAUUUUCCUGGAAAUAACGGAAGAGGCCCUGGGGAUGAUUUUAUUGGUAGAGUGGGAAUGUAUUAAAAUUCUCUACUUCCUUGUUACAUGGUCUUUCCUCCACCCUACAAGAUGCGUGCUUGUAACUCAAAUUUCCAUUUGAGUAAUUAACAAUUAUUAUUUAAAACUAACCUGAAAAUAAAAAUUGUAUUCAAUUCAUUCAUAGGGAGCAUCUACCUAUUUAUUAUUACCACAUAGGUGAUGUGACUCUAGAAACAUCUUGGUAUUCAAAUAGCCAAUUAAAAUAUAAAAUGUAAUGAUUUUCAAAAGCUACUCUUUUUCCUUCUCUCAUCUCUAUCUACUAAUUGGAAAGUCUAUUCGCCAAACACAACAAAGAUGAUUGACAGAAUUUUAAAAAUACACACGUUUCCCUAUUAAAGAGGGUGAAUGGAUGUUAGCACUGUAUCAGACACAUAAUAAGGAGACACCUAUUGUUUAACAUUAACAUUCUGUGUAGUUAAUGUUACAAACAGACAUCAAAAGUGAAUAAAACGUGUCAUGAAAUUACCAAAUAAUGAAUUAACUUCCUGGAUAGAAGGAAGGUUCUGUUAGCAAGUUCUUUUUAAUAAAUCAAAGAAUGGGGAAAUGUGGAGGAAAACAUAAGGAAGUUGGGAGAGGGAGGUCAAAUCUCACUUUCAGUUAUCAGUAAAGUGCACAUUCUUUUUUGCAUUCUGUGAGGCUGGAGGUGCUGCUGAUAAAAUGUCCUCACAUAUUCUGUCAAUGUCAGGAUGCAAACAUCACUAAACAAACCCUCGUGUCAAAAUGUCACCUAGUGAUUAUUUAUGCUUCUUGACAACACCAAUAAAUGACAAGGCUGCCUCUAUGUCUGUGAAAGGUUGCAUACCAAUUGUUAUAGGUAACAUAGAUGAAGUACAAAGUAGUUAUCAGAAUUCAUUUAAACUGUGCUAUUAAAUUAGAUAUGUUUGCAGUAGCCAUCACAGUAAAUACUACUGUGAUUCUCCUGAAGGAAUAUUGCCUAAACAAUUUAAUGCAGAACAUUUCCUAAUUACCAUGCAUUUCUGAAUCUCUGCUACCAUGUAGAUAUUCACACUGAAAGAGAAGUGUCAUUUCUUUUUCUUCUUUAAUUUGUCAUUGUUUCCCAGUGCUCUUGCUUCUGGAAUUGAAUUUGGAGUCUACAUUUUUUAAGGGUACUGCAAUUAUUAACGUAGUCUGGGAUGAUAAUGUCUCAGCAAAAUGUACACAACGUGAAUAAGAUAGUUAGCGCCUUAGUUGUUCCAAUCCCAUAUUGCUUCCUGUUCCAAAUCUACUAAUGAGUAAUAAGAGAUGUAGCACUACUCAAUGGAACCAAAGCGUGCAUUAUGAAAAUACUCUAUCAGCUCCAUCAGUAAAGUUUGUAAGGUAAUUAUAAAUUUGUUAUCAGACAUUUUAAAUUGUUAAGGUAUAAUUAAAAGAUACUGUUUUAUUUGGGAUAACCUUCCACUCUGUUAAUCAUACUAAAACACUUGAUGCUCAAAACACAAUUGAAAAUCGUCUUAAUCAGUGUGAACUUCAAGAUCUUCUUAAAAAUGACUUCUGAUACUACCCUGAGAUUAUCGGAGUGUAAAUCCUUGCUUUGCACUUUCUGGCUGUGUGUACUUAGGCAAAUGACUAACUUUGCUGUUCUUGUAUUUUCUCACUGUUAAAAUGAAAUAGAAAUAGCACCUGCCUCUAUGAGGUAGUUUGAUAAAAGGAUUACAUGAGAAAAUCUACAUAAAGCAUAGUGCCUAAGAUCUUUCACACAAUAUUUUCAAGACACGUGAAAACAAAUUCUAAAAUUAUCAUUACUUGAAAAUAAAAUCCACAUGGAGAACUUCUAAUUUGCUAAUAAG